AGAAAGAUGUUUAUACCCAGUGACAGCCACUACCCAGCCACCAGCGCAGGGCCUGAAAGCUGAGCCUACACUGGGAACUAUUUACUGUCAGCUGCUCUCUGUCAGCAGGCUCCGGAGCCACAGGGACUCUAAGGAAGCAAAGAUUGAGAGCCAGCUGAAGAGGAGAGAGAGGCUGCAGAGGAUACCUGAACCGGGGAGCUGGUUGGGUUCCCACAGGGCACUGCGAGGCGUUGCCUGGUGUUGGAGAACGAGCUGGCCCCUGGCUGAUCUUAAACAGCGCGGCUGAGGGCCAUAGCGAGGGUACUGUGUAAGCCAUGAAGCUUUGGGUCAUCGGCACCGCCAGUUCCCUGUGCUUCUAGCUCUGCAUGAAACCAAGGGCCAUAAAGGUAAGGUAUCAAGGGGACUGAUGAGGGAACAGGGAACAGCCUGAAAGUCUAAGAAUUCUACUCAGCCCAUCAGUGGGCCACGCUGGUGCCACAGGGACAUCUGACGUACUGGCUAGCUGUUCACCCACACUGGGAGGUGCCCACAGUACUGUCCUUGCUGUCCUAAACCUCUCACUUCCUAACCUUCUGGCCUGCCCGCUAGCUCACGUUCACAUUCAGAACAUUUCAGGGGCUGCUGAGGAGAGCCACGGUGAACAGGAGCCAGGUUGAGGGUAACGUGAGGUGGCUAGCAGGAUGAAACUGGAGUCCCAACUGCAGGAGGCCACCCAGAGAGAG
rnacentral:lncRNA from 1 species